rnacentral:rRNA from 1 species
UACGAAGGGGACUAGCGUUGUUCGGAAUCACUGGGCGUAAAGCGCACGUAGGCGGAUAUGUCAGUCAGGGGUGAAAUCCCGGGGCUCAACCUCGGAACUGCCUUUGAUACAGCAUAUCUUGAGUCCGAUAGAGGUGGGUGGAAUUCCUAGUGUAGAGGUGAAAUUCGUAGAUAUUAGGAAGAACACCGGUGGCGAAGGCGGCCCACUGGAUCGGU